rnacentral:lncRNA from 1 species
CAUGAUAAAUUCUAAUCCAAAUUUUCCAGACUUCGUCCACGGCCAAACUUCCCCAAGGAUAGAUUUUUACAGCAACCCGACUCCACCCAUGUUUCUACGACGGUCGACCGCCUUUUUGAUUUCAUCCGAGCUCCUACGAGAGCUGGACCUCUGCCCCGAAUUCCUAUUGCAGGUAGACUUCAUCCGAGCCCCUACUACAAACGGUCUACUCUGAACUCCUACUACAAAUGGU